rnacentral:Y_RNA from 1 species
GGUUGGUCCAAGUGCAGUGGUGUUUACAACUAAUUGAUCACAACCAGUUACAGAUUCCUUUGUUCCUUCUCCACUCCCACUGCUUCACUUCACUAGCCUAAA